rnacentral:misc_RNA from 1 species
GUCAAAAGAGUAAGAUUCUAUUUCAGGGUUCUCAAAGCAGGUCUAAUCCUGGCAUUAGCUACAUCGUCCAAGUAGAGAGUUUCAUAGAAUACUAAGUUCGAGUCAAGGAAGAUCAAACGAUAUGUAGCAAUUUCUAAUACACGUUGAUAGACAGAUUGAAUGGAUGAAUAGGCUACGUUGAAGUAAGAAAGGGAAGUGGAACGGUUCUUGCAUUGGCUGGCAUGACAAGUACGAGAUGAAGAAAUAGUUCUUGGAGUAAGGGCGAGGGUUCUUGUCUAAAGAAUAGAGGUGAGAAAGAAGAUAAUGCAAAGUGUUGAGUCGGAUGUCAAGGCGUUGUGUUCCCCGGCUAGUUGAUGCCCUUGGAUGAUGAGCUUCUACUACUCCAUGUCGAUGCAUUUCUUCUAUGGUAACUUUGCAUGGAGUAGCUUUCUUCCACAGCUUGAAGAACUUGGAGACGCGAUUGCGUCUAGUUAGCAUAGCUCUAUUUUGAGCUUGGAAAGAUACUCAAAUCGAAGCUAAAUUAUUGAAGUAAAGAUCAG